rnacentral:rRNA from 1 species
UACGUAGGGUGCAAGCGUUAAUCGGAAUUACUGGGCGUAAAGCGUGCGCAGGCGGUUUUGUAAGUCAGAUGUGAAAUCCCCGGGCUUAACCUGGGAACUGCGUUUGAAACUACAAGGCUAGAGUGUGGCAGAGGGGGGUGGAAUUCCACGUGUAGCAGUGAAAUGCGUAGAGAUGUGGAGGAACACCGAUGGCGAAGGCAGCCCCCUGGGUUAACACUGACGCUCAGGCACGAAAGCGUGGGGAGCGAACCGG